AGAGUUUGAUUAUGGCUCAGGACGAACGCUGGCGGCGCGCCUAACACAUGCAAGUCGAACGAGCGAGAGAGAGCUUGCUUUCUCGAGCGAGUGGCGAACGGGUGAGUAACGCGUGAGGAACCUGCCUCAAAGAGGGGGACAACAGUUGGAAACGACUGCUAAUACCGCAUAAGCCCACGGGUCGGCAUCGACCAGAGGGAAAAGGAGCAAUCCGCUUUGAGAUGGCCUCGCGUCCGAUUAGCUAGUUGGUGAGGUAACGGCCCACCAAGGCAACGAUCGGUAGCCGGACUGAGAGGUUGAACGGCCACAUUGGGACUGAGACACGGCCCAG
rnacentral:rRNA from 1 species